AUGAAGCACUGAUUGCAA
rnacentral:piRNA from 1 species